UAGUCCAUACCGUAAACGAUGAUUACUCGAUGCUGGCGAUAUACAGUCAGUGUCUAAGCGAAAGUGAUAAGUAAUCCACCUGGGGAGUACGGUCGCAAGGUUGAAACUCAAAGGAAUUGACGGGGGACCCGCACAAGCGGUGGAGCAUGUGGUUUAAUUCGAUGAUACGCGAGGAACCUUACCAGGGCUUAAAUGUAGUAUGACAGGCUAAGAGAUUAGCUUUUUCUUCGGACAUAUUACAAGGUGCUGCAUGGUUGUCGUCAGCUCGUGCUGUGAGGUGUCGGGUUAAGUCCCAUAACGAGCGCAACCCCUAUCUCUUAGUUGCCAGCGAGUAAAGUCGGGGACUCUAGAGAAACUGCCUGUGCAAACAGUGAGGAAGGUGGGGAUGACGUCAAAUCAUCACGGGCCCUUACGGUCCUGGGGCCACACACGUGCUACAAUGGUAGAUACAAAGGGCAAGCGACCUGGUGACAGGGA
rnacentral:rRNA from 1 species